rnacentral:lncRNA from 1 species
NGGUUCUCAUCUGUGCUUAAUGCCUUNAUCGUUUAACUCAUUNGAUAACUGNUGUUUGUCUUUAUUGAUACGGGGACGUACAGUAAUGUCAUGAACUGGUGAGUAAUUUCUUGAUUAUGCAUUAUCACCUAGGGAUAGGGGUAUGACGAUCAAUUACGUUUAACUUCUGCUCUAUAAUGUUGUAUUAAUUGCUAGGGGAGGCUAGGGAUAGCAAGCCAGUAAUUAAUAUUAGGCUCUUUUCGCCGAGGGAUUGGGUUAAGGGUAGGCUAAGAAAGUUGCAUGACAAUUAAUUAAUCAAGCUAAUAAUUCAAGAGGAGUAGAUAAGAUAGAGCGGAUUAGAUGAAAUUGUAAACCCCCAACAACUCUAUUCAUCCAUUGUUUUCGUC